AAAGCGUUAUGAUGAUGGAUUUAUUCCAAGUCUAGCUUGAAUGGAGAUUUUAUCUUCGUAC
rfam:Lactobacillus ozensis DSM 23829 = JCM 17196 strain DSM 23829 NODE_88, whole genome shotgun sequence.